rnacentral:rRNA from 1 species
GACAGAGGAGCCAAGCGUUGUCCGGAUUGACUGGGCGUAAAGGGCACGCAGGUGGUCGCGCAAGUGUGAUGUGAAAGCGGCUCGCUUAACGAGCCGAGGCCAUCGCCGACUGCGUAACUCGAGUCCCGGAGAGGAGGGUGGAAUUCCUGGUGUAGCGGUGAAAUGCGUAGAUAUCAGGAGGAACACCGGUGGCGAAGGCGGCCCUCUGGACGGUGACUGACGCUGAGACGCGAAAGCGUGGGGAGCAAACGGG